rnacentral:rRNA from 1 species
GACGAACGCUGGCGGCGUGCCUAAUACAUGCAAGUAGAACGCUGAAGCUAGGAGCUUGCACCGCGUGGAUGAGUUGCGAACGGGUGAGUAACGCGUAGGUAACCUGCCUGGUAGCGGGGGAUAACUAUUGGAAACGAUAGCUAAUACCGCAUAACAGUGGAUGUUACAUGUCAUUUACUUAAAAGGUGCAAUUGCUCCACUACAAGAUGGACCUGCGUUGUAUUAGCUAGUUGGUGAGGUAAUGGCUCACCAAGGCGACGAUACAUAGCCGACCUGAGAGGGGGAUCGGCCACACUGGGACUGAGACACGGCCCAGACUCCUACGGGAGGCAGCAGUAGGGAAUCUUCGGCAAUGGGCGCAAGUCUGACCGAGCAACGCCGCGUGAGUGAAGAAGGUUUUCGGAUCGUAAAGCUCUGUUGUAAGUGAAGAACGGGUGUGAGAGUGGAAAGUUCACACUGUGACGGUAUCUUACCAGAAAGGGACGGCUAACUACGUG